CACGAAACGUUUGUUCGCCACCACAGGCCACAGCAACCUAAGUUAGGUACAUUAUAUUUAUUGUAUAUUUGUGAUUUUUGAUAAAAACAAUAAAUAUUUGCGUAUAUUUAUCAUCAAUUAUAAAAAUACAAAAAAUAUAAUACAUUUAGUUAGGUUGCUGUGGUGGCGAACAAACGUUUCGUG
rnacentral:miRNA from 1 species